UGAAAUAGAAGUCUUGGAACUCACUUUGU
rnacentral:piRNA from 1 species